rnacentral:rRNA from 1 species
CCUACGGGCGGCUGCAGUGGGGAAUAUUGCACAAUGGGCGCAAGCCUGAUGCAGCCAUGCCGCGUGUGUGAAGAAGGCCUUCGGGUUGUAAAGCACUUUCAGCGGGGAGGAAGGCGGUGAGGUUAAUAACCUCAUCGAUUGACGUUACCCGCAGAAGAAGCACCGGCUAACUCCGUGCCAGCAGCCGCGGUAAUACGGAGGGUGCGAGCGUUAAUCGGAAUUACUGGGCGUAAAGCGCACGCAGGCGGUCUGUCAAGUCGGAUGUGAAAUCCCCGGGCUCAACCUGGGAACUGCAUUCGAAACUGGCAGGCUAGAGUCUUGUAGAGGGGGGUAGAAUUCCAGGUGUAGCGGUGAAAUGCGUAGAGAUCUGGAGGAAUACCGGUGGCGAAGGCGGCCCCCUGGACAAAGACUGACGCUCAGGUGCGAAAGCGUGGGGAGCAAACAGGAUUAGAUACCCCAGUAGUC